rnacentral:rRNA from 1 species
GACGAACGCUGGCGGCGUGCUUAACACAUGCAAGUCGAGCGAUGAAGUUCCUUCGGGAAUGGAAUAGCGGCGAACGGGUGAGGAACACGUGAGGAAUCUACCUUCUACUCUGGGAUAACUCCGGGAAACCGGGGCUAAUACCGGAUAUGAAACUCGAUGGCAUCAUUGAGUUUGGAAAGUUUUUCGGUAGAAGAUGACCUCGCGGCCUAUCAGCUUGUUGGUGAGGUAAUGGCUCACCAAGGCGACGACGGGUAGCCGGCCUGAGAGGGCGACCGGCCACACUGGGACUGAGACACGGCCCAGACUCCUACGGGAGGCAGCAGUGGGGAAUAUUGGGCAAUGGAGGAAACUCUGACCCAGCGACGCCGCGUGCGGGAUGAAGGCCUUCGGGUUGUAAACCGCUUUCAGCAGGGAAGAAGCGAAA